CCUGGUGCCGCCAGCGGAAGAGGCUGGCAGUGUCUAUGUUGGGGUGCGUCUCGUCCUCAUCGUCCGACACCUCGAUGUGAUCCCAAACGCUGUAGUCCACCAUCUUCGCUUCGGAGGCCCGGACUGGCUCCCGGGGCUCCACACGGCCGGGCGCUGAACAGGGACCCACAAGGGCUAGAGAGUCCGCUCGGCGAGCCCCGCCCCUUCCGCUUCCGCCCAGGGCGCCGCGCAGGACGGCCCCGCCCCAGCGUCGGCGCGGGACGUUACGUCCUUAGCAACGGGAGUCGGCGGCAUUGGCAACCGGAGGUCUUCUUUAAAGGGCCAGGAGUAUGUGGUGAGGCCUUCUGGAAGUUCCCGCCGAAACCAGACUGACCAUCCUUUAGAAACAAAAGAAAGCAAUAUUUCAGUCAGGGUUGGUACAUGCCGGAUGCUACAGACUUCGCCUUGUGUGGGGAUCAGAAGCAGAUGGUGAUUAACACAGUCUUCAUACUCCACCACCACCACCACGCGCGCCACUCCCACUCGUCUUGGCAAUUCACCACAGCAGCAGGAGCAGUCUAUCCCAGCCUGGGCACGCGCAUGACCGACAUACAUCUGGAGGGUCUCCCAUAUACCCACACCUAGCAGCAAACAAAGGGUCUGGACACCCGUCCCCUCCCACUGUCCUGACCCCAGGCCAGAGAGGGCGGGGCUCUUCUCUCCAGCCCCUUUUCCUAGCAAGGAUUUGAAUCAUCAUUCUUAUAAAAAUGAGGAAGUGGCUAACAAGAUGGCUCAGAGAAUAAAGUGCUUACCAUCAAGUCUGCAGAUAGAAGAUCCACAUGGUGGAAGAGAGCCGACCCCUGUCUUUGAGCUCCACACAUACACUGCUAUGCAUGCCCGCCCUUCCCGUCCCCACA
rnacentral:lncRNA from 1 species